GCCUUUGCUGAUUACCACUAAUAUAAAUCCCUUUUUAUUCACUUUCUAAAGAGGAGAGAGACCAUUCUCCCCUCAGGGCCACAAAAUGACUGUGAAUGAUCUAAAUUUCAACUUCUGUUCUAUAGCAUGAUCUUUCCUUUUAUGUGGUGACCCUUUGGGAACAAAGACAUAAGCCUGAAAGUUACUGUUUUUAUUGGUCCUUUUCUUAAGUAAUAAUGAAAUAAUAUUGACCCCUCAACUUCUCUUCCAAAUAUAAUCCAUCUUAGAAGCUCUUUUCAAGUUGCUCUGGGAAUAAGUAAAAAAAUGUUCUAAAUGACAAUAUCAAAUGACCGUUAUCUCCAAAGAGCAGAGUGUCUGUGAUAUAACAAAGAACUUAUCAAUAAGGCAAAAUCUAAGAGGAAUACACUGCACGUCCAUGCAAAAUUCUGGAAUUUUGACUUUCUCCUUUGGUAGAGGCCCCUUUUGGUUUUGGUCUUGAUUUGUCUAUAUCCAAUUAUGAUCUUCUUUAAAAUAAGACAAAUAAAUAUCUUUAAAGCACCUGAAGCACCCAGGAAAAUUGUUCCAGAAGAAAAAAUUCGUGUAUCAGUCCCUAAGAAGCCUGAAGUUCCACCAGCUAAAGUUCCUGAGAUGCCUAAGAAAAUUAUGGAAGAAGAAAAACCUACUGUUCUUCCCGAAGACACAGAAAUAUACAGUGAGUGUAGAAAAAUUUAAAGUUCUCUUUGGUUUCAUCUGUGUUCUCAAAUUCACUGUGUUCAUCCAUAUAACUUUAAAAAGUUAACAUACUAAUAUCUUGUAAAUAUUUGUCUCAAAUAAUUUGAAUGACCCCAAGCUUUAGACAAGAUACAUCUCCUUACACUUUAAAAAAAUAAAUAUAAUAUUACCCAAUUUUAGAAAAAGCAUUUAUCUUAUUGAAUUUUUCUAACCUCUGUUUAUAAACAUCUUUUGCUUUGAAGCAAUUUGUUUUCUUAGACCAUUAAGUGAACCAUAAUAUUUUAGUUUAAUUUCAAAGAACCAGGAUCUCUACCAUUAUUAUUUUUUUACUCCUCACAACAAUCAUUAACAUUUGGCAAUGCUGCCCGAGUGGUUAUAAAUUUAUAAGACCAUUAAAAACCCAAAAAGUAUUAUCAAGACUUUUUUUUGCCUUAAUACAAAACUACAAUUAAACAAUUUUAAUAGUAAAAUAUUAUAAAAAAGAAUUCUAUUUAAGACUCUGAAUAGUAAAAAUGCUAUAUUCCAUUUUUAAUCUAAAAAAAUUAUACUAUAUUGUGAUAAAAGUAUACAAUCACCCCAUCCUUUGAAUACCUUUUCUAUAUUUGAAUUUAGUUCUUACUGUCAGACAGUCUUCCUUUUUAAAUUCUGAAGAAAUCCUUUAUUAUUUUUAUUGGCCUUAUUUUCCAAAUAUUUAAUCAUUUUUUCUUUUCUGCUUCUAAUCCCUAAAUGAUUUUCACACUCAUUUUAAGCUGUGAAUCCAUAAAUGAGAUGUGAUUUUAAAAUAUACUUUUCCUCCCAGAAGUGGAAAAUAUUUACAUGAAUUUGCAAUAGGUCAAAUGUAGAAAGCAAAUUCCCCAUGGUAGCUCAACAUCUUCCCUGAUUUUUAUGCACAAAUCCAUUAAGAAGUAGAGCAAUUGGACGAUUUUAUCAAAAACUUCCUGCAGAAAAAAAUUGAAGAAUUUUAUGGUCCUUGCCUGAUGAAUUCCUCAAUUUCAUUCUCAUUCUCAUAAAUAAAUGCCAUAAAGAGUCCUAUAUCAUAAAACUGGGAGUGAAACUCAUGUUCAGUCAUUGCAUUCAUGUCUGUGUACUAUCAUUAAUUUGGGUGAUGAGUGUAUAUUAUAUGUUGUUUUAUUGAUACUAUUCUUCAUCUACCUUGAAAUACCCCUAAUUAUCUAAAUACUAAUAUCUUUAAAGUUUAUGAAGCAUCUGAAGAAUUGGUUGUAGAAGAAAAAGUGCUUGUGACUCAUCCUGAAAAGGCAAAAUACAGAAUAGCAAAAGGUAUAUAACAUCAAUGAUCCAGUCUUAAAAAAUUGAUUUGGGGGUUCAGUUUAGAAGCUCAAUAUUUUUCUUCAUCAUUUAUAAAUAUAACUGUACUCAUGUCUUUAAAGCAGCUGAGCCACCUGAGCAAGUUGUUCCAGAAGAAAAAAUAUAUGUGACUAUUCCUAAAACAAGAGAAGCACCAGCAACCAAAGGUAUUUUUCAACUGUGUCCAACUCAGAUGAAUAUCUUUAAGAUUCAAAAACUGCAUGUUAUGUAAUUGACUUGUUUUACAGCUUCUAAGUAUAAACCUACUAAUAUCUUUAAAGCACCUGAUAUAACCAGAGAAGUUCUUCCAGAGGUGGAGUUACCUGAGGCUGUUCUUAAAAUUCCAGAACAUCCUCCAACUGAAGGUAUAAUUCUCUAGUUCUGAAAAUCUAAAGAAGAAAACCUUUCUUCUAAAGUUGAAAAAAUCUGUUUAGAAUUUUAUGUACAUUCUCACAACCUAUAAUGCUAAAAUACUAAUAUCUUUAAAGCAUCUGAAAAAGAUGCCCAAGACAAGGAAUUACUAUCUAAAGUCAAGACUCACUCAAAUAAUAUACAAAGAUACACUAUUUAAAAAAAUUAAAUUUCCAACUUAAAAUUACAAUAUCUGUCAGUAUACCUAAUUCUUUGUAUGUCAUGUCUUUGUCUGUCAUGUCUUUGUCUUUGCCUGUUUUAACUAAACACUACUAAUAUCUUUAAAGAAUUUGAAAUCUUCAAGGAAGUGGUUCCAGAGAGACGAACUCUUGUUACCAAAAGAAGAAAAACAUUACCACCAACAGGUACAAGUCCCAAUAAAUAGGCUUUCUUAUCUCGUGUUUGUAGUAAUGGUUAACACAUGUAAAAAUACUAAUAUCCUCAAAGCACCAGUGGUUACCAAGGAAAUCAUUUCAGAGAAAUGGGUCCCCAGAGAAGAAGCUUGACCAAGUAUACGCAUGUCCCAGUGAGCCACUCAAGAGGCAAUAGAGAGAAGAUCUUUAACUUAUACAGAUGAAAGAUAGUUGAGUUAUACAGUUUAUGAGGAUAACAGAGAAAACAAUGUAUACAUAAUAUGUCCAAAUAUGACCCAGAUGUAUUCUUUAAUAGGAAACAGCUAUCUUUCCUUUAAAAAUAAUAAAAAUCAGACUAGCUAGAAAUAAUGGACACAAGACUAGAUUGAAUUGGUUCAUUCAGUGCCGUCAAAUAACAAAGGUGUUAGAUUGUGCAUGAGAUGGCAAUAAUUCAGUCCUCCAUGGGACUGGAAAUUCAGGAAAUAUAGCCUUUCAGAAUUGUUUUUCCUAUUAAGAUAAACUUAGUGCUAAAGUAAGCAUAUGAAUAUGAAAUUACUGAUUUCCAAUAAGAAAUAUCAUAGAAAUAUGUUUAGAAAAUCAUGACUUAAAGAAAAUGAAAUAUUCGAUGUGAAGUUGCUGUUCUUGUAAUAUCAUUUCUUACCCAUGAGACACAUCUGAGAGCCUUCUAAAACUAAGGCAGGGAGGGGAGGGGGGAUAGUAGAGGAUAGGAAAGGCAGCAGAACACAACAGACACUAGUAUGGCAAUAUGUAAAUCAAUGGAUGUGUAACUGAUGUGAUUCUGCAAUCUGUAUAUGGGGUAAAAAUGGGAGUUCAUAACCCACUUGAAUCAAAGUGUGAAAUAUGAUAUAUCAAGAACUAUGUAAUGUUUUGAACAACCAACAAUAAAAAAUUUAAAAAAAUAAAUAAAAUAAAGGUAUAAAAAAUUUUAAAAAAAUAAAACUAAGGCAGAAUUCCAGUUAAUUCUGGAACUCGCUUUCUAAAUAUAUUUCUAUGAUGUUAAAUCCUCUUGGAAUCGGCUAUUUCACAUUCGUAUGUGUGCUUUUAGCAGUAAGUAAAUAUUUUAAUAGGAAAGUGAUUUUGACAGGCUGGUAAAUUCUGGAAUUCCAGUCUCAUGAGAGAUGAAUAAUUACCUUCUGGUGCAUAAUCAAGCACCUCUGUCAUUUAGUGGCACCAACUCCUCCUUUAAAUGGUCAUGUGUUAAGCCCAUUCACUGUGGUUUCAGUCCUGAGCACUCUGUUCUGAAUGUUUGCUCCACUCCUGCUCUGUUUUAUUUUUCAAGCAUCAUACAUUUUCCCAUUUUAAACAUUUUUCAGAUACAUUAAAAGCUGGGAACUUUUCAAAGCUUCCAGAAUAACAAUGUCUUAAUAAUGCCCAUGAUAUUCUGGAAUUGAAAGAACACCCAAGUACUCUGAUCUUUCUUUCUCAGUCUGGCAUCUUUUGGUUGUUCUCUCCUGAACUCAAAAAAACACUAUUUUUUAAUUUUUUUAAGUUAUAGAUGGACAAAUAUCUUUAUUUUAUUUAUUUAUUUUUAUGUGGUCUGAUGUUCGAACCCAGCACCUCACAUUGCAAGGCAAGUGCUCUACCAUUGAGCCACAAACCCAGCCCCAGAAAACACUACUUUAAUGAGACUAAGGUGAGGGUACAAAAAAAGAAGCCAACACAGAUAAGAACAUCUGUUUUAUCUUCACAAACUAAAUUGUUAAAGAUACCAUUAGUGGCUGUCUUUUUUUUUUUUUACUUUCAAUAAUCUAAUUUUCUAUACACCUACAAUUGUAAGAAAAAAAAUAUUAAUAUUUAUAGCAUCUGAAUUGACCAAAAAUUAAAAAAACAAAAACAACCCCUGAUAAUCAGGCGUUUAUACUGGUACUAAGAAUCAGAUUCUGGGGAUUCCCAAUCUGUAGCAUUUCUGUAUAUAACUGGAACUCUUCACUGCUCCUCAUAACUCAAAAGUAUACUACAUUAAUAUCUAGAGAGUGCUAGAAUCACCUCAAGACAUUGUCGCUUGUAAAAGCAAAACCCAUGGCAGUUCCCUCUGAAAUCGAAACACCUCCCCAAAAGGCAUCAUGGUUAUUCUCAUUCCUUCAUUUAUUUAAUAAGUGUCUACUAUGGACAGGGCCCUAGGGAGCUAAAGAAUAAUUAACAAAAACGAGUAAGAUUUGAUGACUCUUAAGAUUUUGCAUCUCAUCAGAUUCUUGAAGGAAGCACCCUAGUAGCCAUAAAAAUCACUUAGGUUCAGUUCAUGGAAUUAAUAUCUCCACUGAUCCUUUUAACCUCUGAGAAUAAUACUAAUAUCUUCAAUGCACCAGAAGCCAUAAAAGAAGCUGCUCCUGAGAUGAAAGUCAUUGAGGAUGUUCCUGAAGAGCCAGAAAUGCCACCUAUGGAAGGUACAUGCCACCUCUGAACAGAUAUGGAAGAAGAAAUUAUCCAUCUUCUGCUCCUAGAACUGUUUUUUUCUAACACUCAUUGUGACUCUAAACAUAAACAUACUAAUAUCUUUAAGGCAACUAAAGCUUCAUAAUUCCCUCCAGAAAGAAAGAAUUUGUGGCUGUUCCUACCACAAACUAAAACCUUUCUACUAAAAGGAUUCAUUCAAAAAAUACAGUCCUCCCUCUGUCUCCAUGGAAGAUUGGUUCCAGGACU